rnacentral:misc_RNA from 1 species
GUGAAUCAUCGAAUCUUUGAACGCAAAUUGCACUCUCUUCGGAGAGUAUGCCUGUUUGAGGGUCAGCCUAAAAAAAAUCGACGUAGUCGCUGUUUCGCGGUGACAUUCGUCGGAAAUUGGGUCAUCUUAAACCUUUGGGUUUUUAAACGGCCUUAAAUUUUCUUUUCGGUUUCACGAACGGUUUUAAGGUUUUACUUCUUUCAACAG